GGGAAGAGCUCAAAUUUGUAAUCUGGCACUUUCAGUGUCCGAGUUGUAAUCUCGAGAAGUGUUUUCCGCGCCGGACCGCAUACAAGUCUGUUGGAAUACAGCGUCAUAGUGGUGAGAACCCCGUAACUGAUGCGGAUGCCCGGUGCUUUGUGAUACACUUUCGAAGAGUCGAGUUGUUUGGGAAUGCAGCUCAAAUUGGGUGGUAAAUUCCAUCUAAAGCUAAAUAUUGGCGAGAGACCGAUAGCGAACAAGUACCGUGAGGGAAAGAUGAAAAGCACUUUGGAAAGAGAGUUAACAGUACGUGAAAUUGUUGGAAGGGAAACGCUUGAAGUCAGACUUGCUAUUUGGAGUUCAACCCAUGGUGUAUUCUUCAAUUUGCAGGCCAGCAUCAGUUUCUGGGGGUGGAAAAUCGUAGUUUGAAUGUAGCAGUUUCGGCUGUGUUAUAGCUUUCUACUGGAUUCAUCUUCGGGGACUGAGGAACGCAGUGCGCUUUUAGCAAGGCUCUCGAGCUUUACGCACUUAGGAUGCUGGUGGAAUGGCUUUAAACGACCCGUCUU
rnacentral:rRNA from 1 species